rnacentral:piRNA from 1 species
GGGAGUGGUCCUAAAACCCCGUGUGUGCAU